AAGACUGGUAAGAAACAGCAAAGUAUUCCUAAGGCAAAAAUGGACGUGCAUUUAAAUGCUAAGAAGGAGAACAAAUCAACUCAUGUUGGUGAAAUGGCUUUGCUGACUGGAAAUUACAUUAUUGUUAAUUGUUGAUUAUUCAACAUUAAGACAGGAAGCCCCAAAUGGACCGAUGGUAAGGUGGUUCAGUUAAUAGUUGGUAACAUGUUUGCUCGGUGCAGGGCAUUCGGUAUUGCAUUUUCUAUUCUGUUUAUCAGAUGAAACUGGAAAACAGGGAAAGAAUCUGAAGGGCUUCUGUCUGCUAAAUGCCUAGAACAGUGGCUGACUGGGAGCUGCUGCCCAGCGUCCCGAGAAUACCCUACGGCACGUCACUAGCCUGGGAACAGAUCCACAUAAGAUUCGAAGAUGAAUGAACUUGUGAAGUUUUUUUCUGAAUGAUCAGUGAGGACACAGAAAAAUCCACAAAAUUGAAAUGCAGGCUGAAGUUGAAAAAAGAGGAAGGAGAGUCAGAUGAUACCUACUUCCAAAGUUUGGCAGACUUCUGAUCUGAAAGACAUGAAUUUUCAGUUAAAUACCGAACGAUGAAUGAAAAUGGACUCACUCCAGUGGUUGUUGUUGUGAAAUUCAGAACACUGAGUUCAAAGAAACAUCCUACACGAUUUCCAAUGACAGAAAAAAAGAAGUCCCUACAAAGAGUUAAGAAUUACAAUGGCAUGACACUUUUCAACAACAUCAUGAGAAAUGGGAAGGCAUUGGGGCAAUGCCUUUAAAAUUCUGAGUUUUUCUCAGGAAGCUAUCAGAAGAUGUGUUCCAUCAAAACUCAGGGAACAAACCUAAGGGAAAAAAGGUAAAGGAAUCAGAUAACAGAGCCCAUCAUAAAAGGGAGGCGAAGGAAAUUCCUAGGAUGAUGGUGAAGCAGAACUCCAGCAUGACAACUAUGCAUCAGACUGGGACAGCUAACCAACCAGUCCAGAUUGGAGCAGGUCUGAAGGUGAAACUGAUAGAUGAAUUGUCUACGUGUUUGAGAGAAUUUACAAAAUAGGAGAGUCUGAUGUUGAAUUAGUGAUAAAUACAACGAGAACCAAGCAGAGAAAAAAACUAGAUCAUUAUGAACACCAAGAAAAAUAAAAUACUCUAUUGGAAUAAGUAA